rnacentral:rRNA from 1 species
GACGAACGCUGGCGGCGUGGAUUAGGCAUGCAAGUCGAACGGUAUCAUCCUUUCGGGGGUGAGAGAGUGGCGAACUGGUGAGUAACACGUAGGUUAUCUACCCUCAAGACGGGGACAACCCAGGGAAACUUGGGCUAAUACCGGAUGUGAGCAACUUUUUAGUUGUUUGAAAGGUGGCGUAAGCUGUCGCUUGGGGAUGAGCCUGCGUCCUAUUAGUUAGUUGGUGAGGUAACGGCUCACCUAGGCAAUGAUAGGUAGGCGGCCUUAACGGGUGGUCGCCCACACUGGGAUUGAGAUACGGCCCAGACUCCUACGGGAGGCAGCAGUCGAGAAUAGUCUACAAUGGUCGGAAGACUGAUAGUGCGACGCCGCGUGAACGAGGAGCCCUUCGGGUGUAAAGUUCUUUCUUAUACGAGCAGUGCUAUAUAUAUGGAUAGUAUAUAUAGAGGAGUAGUAGUAUAGGAAUAAGAAACGGACUAACUCGUGCCAGCAGCGCGUAAAAGU